UUUUAUCAGAGAGUUUGAUCCUGGCUCAGGAUGAACGCUGGCGGCGUGCUUAACACAUGCAAGUCGAACGGGAAUUACUUUAUUGAAACUUCGGUCGAUUUAAUUUAAUUCUAGUGGCGGACGGGUGAGUAACGCGUGGGUAACCUGCCUUAUACAGGGGGAUAACAGUCAGAAAUGGCUGCUAAUACCGCAUAAGCGCACAGAGCUGCAUGGCUCA
rnacentral:rRNA from 1 species